GACGAACGCUGGCGGCGUGCUUAACACAUGCAAGUCGAGCGGAAAGGCCCUUCGGGGUACUCGAGCGGCGAACGGGUGAGUAACACGUGAGCAACCUGCCCCUGACUCUGGGAUAAGCCCGGGAAACUGGGUCUAAUACCGGAUACGACCACUUGCGGCAUCGCAUGGUGGUGGAAAGUUUUUUCGGUCGGGGAUGGGCUCGCGGCCUAUCAGCUUGUUGGUGAGGUAGUGGCUCACCAAGGCGACGACGGGUAGCCGGCCUGAGAGGGCGACCGGCCACACUGGGACUGAGACACGGCCCAGACUCCUACGGGAGGCAGCAGUGGGGAAUAUUGCGCAAUGGGCGGAAGCCUGACGCAGCGACGCCGCGUGGGGGAUGACGGCCUUCGGGUUGUAAACCUCUUUCAGCAGGGACGAAGUUGACGUGUACCUGCAGAAGAAGCGCCGGCUAACUACGUGCCAGCAGCCGCGGUAAUACGUAGGGCGCGAGCGUUGUCCGGAAUUAUUGGGCGUAAAGAGCUCGUAGGUGGCUUGUCGCGUCGGGUGUGAAAGCUUGGGGCUUAACUCCAGGUCUGCAUCCGAUACGGGCUGGCUAGAGGUAGGUAGGGGCAAGCGGAAUUCCUGGUGUAGCGGUGAAAUGCGCAGAUAUCAGGAGGAACACCGGUGGCGAAGGCGGCUUGCUGGGCCUUACCUGACGCUGAGGAGCGAAAGCGUGGGGAGCGAACAGGAUUAGAUACCCUGGUAGUCCACGCUGUAAACGUUGGGCGCUAGGUGUGGGGGCCUUCCA
rnacentral:rRNA from 1 species